UACAGAGGGUGCGAGCGUUGUCCGGAAUCACUGGGCGUAAAGCGCGCGUAGGCGGCUUUGCAAGUCGGGGUGUGAAAUCCCCCAGGCUUAACCUGGGAACUGCAUUCGAGACUGCAUUGCUAGAGUAUGGGAGAGGGAAGUGGAAUUUCAGGUGUAGCGGUGAAAUGCGUAGAUAUCUGAAGGAACAUCAGUGGCGAAAGCGACUUCCUGGACCAAUACUGACGCUCAUGUGCGAAAGCGUGGGGAGCAAACAGG
rnacentral:rRNA from 1 species